UUAAGUAGAAGCUAUCGAGAUUCGAGACAGUGCAUACUUCAGAAACAAACACCCGUGCGGUGUUCUAGUACAGCUUCAGAAAAGGAAUUCUAGCACUUCUCUGCUUAGAUUUAGGGCCUGUUUGGAGACUCUCCCGCUCUCCAAAUCCGCUCCAGGAGUUGGUGGAGCUGUAGCUAAAAAUGAUGGAGUGGGGAAAAGGCAGCUCCACAAAUUCUCAGAUUUCAGGGAGCUGGAGGACUGCCGAACAGCCCCUUAGGGCCUGGUUCUCCCCGAAUUGUACUGCAUAAUUUGCAGUUUUUCUUGCUAUUUGAUGAUCUGAAUCGUACCACAGGAAAAUAAUGUAUCGGGGAAAAGAAAGUAUGGAGAAAAUAACUUGAAUCGUGCCACAGUUUGAAAUUUAAUACUCUUUAUGACUGACAUGUGGCAGCCUUGAAUAUCCCUCAAAUAAACAAUAUUCAUG
rnacentral:lncRNA from 1 species